GGGGAUUUAGCUCAGUGGUAGAGCGCUUGCCUAGCAAGCGCAAUGCCCUGGGUUCAGUCCCCC
rnacentral:tRNA from 1 species